AGCUCGGCCUCUGGAAUUCUGAGAACUAAUUUGCUAUUCGGUGACAUAAGAGGGGGAGUGCGCUACGCUUUCCCGGGGUCUGGGGCUAAUUCUUCCUCUCCUACCCAUAAACUCGGCUCCACGAGCUAAAUACACAAAAGGGAGCGAGCGAUCUGAGCUGUUGGAACAAGUAUGUUAGAGGCACGUUUAGAGAGGCGAGUGAGAGAAAACAAUAAAUACCACAGCUCCUUCCAGCUAGAAUAUUAGGCACCACGAGAAAAAUAUUUGCCAAGCAGUUUUCGCAUAUGCCUGACAGACGAUGCUCACUUAGCAAAUGUUGAUGGAGUUGAAGAAGGAAGAACUGAAAGAGAAUUCAGUGUGGAGCCCGAGGACCCAGGUGACAGCGUGAAGCUCCACGGUUGACUAAUUCUCUGGAUCUCAGUUUCCUGUUCUCUAAAAUGGUCAUUUCUAUCAAGGGCGAACCUAAGAGGCAUCUUAUGAGGAUUAAGGGCAACGGAGAGAAAGCAAAUACAGAGCCAUCCCCAGGACGUGACAGUAAAUAGAAGAGGAUCUUCAUACGGAUUAAAGGAAAUAUCAGCAGUGGUAUUUAAGGGGGAGAGUCAACCACUAGCGGAAGAAGGCAAUGAUAAAACAAGUAAAACAAUGGAUGUUUGACAUCUGCUAUGGUGUAAAUUCAAAAGACUAACCACUCUAAAACCCACCUUGUGGGGCUGGAGAGAUGGGUAAAGUGCCUAAUGCAUGAGCAUGAAGACCUGAGCUCGGAUCCCCAGCAGUCAUGCGAAAAUCCUGGCAUGGUGGUGUGAAUCUAUAACCUGGUGUACGUCUGAGGACAGAGAAGAAGGUAGACAGAGUCAGGCUCUUCCUCAGAUUGCUGACCAGCCAGUCUGGUCAGUUGUUGAGCCCUGAGUUCACGGAGAGACUCUGUCUCAAAAUAUAAGAGGGAGAUCAUUCAAACAAGACACCUUGUGUUGCCUUCUGAUCUCCACACCACGUGUGUGCACACAUACUCCCAUGCAGAUGCAUGCAUAUCCCCCCAAACACACACACACACACACAGUUAUUCCACACCCACACAAAAGCCAGUCACUGUGGAGUACAUCUGUAACCUCAGUGCUGGUGGAUGUGUGAAGACAGCCAAAUCCCCGGAGCUCAAUGACCAGCAAGCCUAGACGAAUUAAUGAACUCUGGAUUUAGGGAAAGAACCUCCCUCAAAAGAUAGGACAGAGGACAGUCAUGGAAGAUCAUGGAAGAUACUCAAGGAUCAAUCCCUAGCUUCCACAUGCGUACGACGGACAUGCAUGCAUAAUGUGUGUAUGCUCAUGUGAACAUAUACACAUAUGUUCAUGUAUAUGAACACUCACGUUUAUGAACCACACUCACAGAAAAUAAAACUAAAUAAAUAAAAUAAUAAUUUAGAAGGCC